AACCUCCUGGCUCCAUACAUGCCCGUAGCAUAGUACAAAUACAUUUUCAUAUAUGUACUAUGCUACGGGCAUGUAUGGAGCCAGGAGGUU
rnacentral:pre_miRNA from 2 species